UACGAAGGGGGCUAGCGUUGCUCGGAAUCACUGGGCGUAAAGCGCACGUAGGCGGAUCUUUAAGUCAGGGGUGAAAUCCUGGAGCUCAACUCCAGAACUGCCUUUGAUACUGGGGAUCUCGAGUCCGGGAGAGGUGAGUGGAACUCCGAGUGUAGAGGUGAAAUUCGUAGAUAUUCGGAAGAACACCAGUGGCGAAGGCGGCUCACUGGCCCGUUACCGACGCUCAGGCGCGACAGCGUGGGGGAGCAAACAGG
rnacentral:rRNA from 1 species